UGACGUCAGCGCCGACCAGCCACUCGCAGGGUGCCUCGCCGUCACCCCUGCGCCGAGUGCCUCCUGACGGUGCCUAUACCCUCGUCAGCUGAGCCACGCGGAAGAAGAGGAUGGAGGAGGGUAGGAAAAGGAGAUAGGAGGAGGGUAGCAAGAAGAGGAAGGAUGACUCCCAUUCGUCACUUCAAGAUCAACGGAAAAGUAAGAGGGAGCCGCCCCCUACGUCUUCUCAUUACCUGGGCUGUGAGGGACGCUUACCUGGCCUUACCUGUCACUCCGGAGACCACCUGGACGAUCACUACUAUUUCUUCGACUACUUCUUCUACUAUUACUACUACAACCCACGUCCUCCUCUUACUACUACUACUACUACUACUACUACUACUACUACUACUACUACUACUACUACUUGCGCAGGGGCAGCACGGGCCUUGCAAUGGCGGCCCGUGGCGGGGUGCCGACAGACCGACUCUAUCGGCUGACGUCAGCCAAGCCGAUCAAGUCGGUCCGUCGACGAGGACUGGCGUGUCUCUGAAUGAUGAUGAUAAUGUUCUUAUUUAUGCAUCAGUUGUUCCGUCCUUCAUUUUUUUGGAAGUUUUUUUUUAAAUGCAGGAUUAAUUGAGGCUCUAUUAUUAUUAUUGUUAUUAUUAUUCAUUAUUGUUAUCUUAAUUACUAUUUGUUGUAGUAGAAGCAAUAUGAUGAUAAUGAUAUUGACAACGGUGAUAAUGGUAUUUAUUAUUUUUCAGAAUCAUCAUCAUCAUUAUCAUCAAUAGCAUUUACCGUCACUAUCACCACCGCCAUGUCUCACCACCACAUUAAUUCUCUCCAUCAACACAUCACAUAAUUCUACUCUUUUUUUUAUUCCCCUUUUUUCCCUCCUUACCAUUCCGCUGAUCACAAUCUUGACUGAUGCUGACUGAUCGCGGCUGACUGGUGACUGAUGGCCGCCGCGAAGGGGCUACCGGCGCACCUGCGAUUAGGCUCAUUAACGCUAAUCACCUGGGACAUUCAUCACUAUUCCACGCGU